CAAACUAUAGUUAAGGAACUCGGCAAAUUAGCCCCGUAAGUUCGCGAGAAGGGGUGCCUAGGGUAACCUAGGCCGCAGUGAAGAGACACCGGCAACUGUUUAUCAAAAACACAGCUCUAUGCAAAGGCGUAAGCCGAAGUAUAUGGGCGACGCCUGCCCAGUGCUCCAAGGUUAAGAGGAGGGGUUAGCCAGUAGUAAGAUACUGGUGAAGCUCUGAAUUGAAGCCCGAGUGAACGGCGGCCGUAACUAUAACGGUCCAAAGGUAGCGAAACUCCUUGUCAGGUAAGUUCUGACCCGCAUGAAAGGCGUAAUGACUGGUGUACUGUCUCAACUAUAGACUCGGUGAAAUCUUAGUACCGGUGAAGAUGCCGGUUACCCGCAACUAGACGGAAAGACCCUGUGGAGCUUUACUGCAGCUUGAUAUUGGGUUUUUUUCUGGUUUGUGCAGGCUAGGUGGGAGACUUUGAAGCUGACUUCUCAACAGGUCAGUGGAGUCGCAAGGUGAAAGACCACUCUAAUCAGCAGAAGAUUCUAACUUAUUGGUUUACAGCCAAAAGGACAGUGUUUGGUGGGUAGUUUGACUGGGGCGGUCGCCUCCUAAAAAGUAACGGAGGUGUUCAUAAGGUAUCCUCAGUAGGUAUAGAAAUCCUAUGUAGAGCGUAAAGGUAUAAGGAUGCUUAACUGUGAGACUUACAAGUCGAACAGAUACGAAAGUAGGACUUAGUGAUCCGGCGGUUACCUAGUGGUAGGGCCGUCGCUAAACGGACAAAAGUUACCCCGGGGAUAACAGGCUAAUACCUCCCAAGAGAUCACAUCGAGGGAAGUGUUUGGCACCUCGAUGUCGACUCAUCGCAUCCUGGAUGUGAAGAAGCUUCCAAGGGUUGGGCUGUUCGCCCAUUAAAGCGGUACGUGAGUUGGGUUUAGAACGUCGUGAGACAGUUUGGUCCCUAUCUGUUGUGGGCGCAGGAAAUUUGCGGAGGUCUGCUCUUAGUACGCAAGGACCAGAGUGGACUGACCAAUGGUGUACCAGUUGUCCUGUCAAGGGCACGGCUGGCUAGCUACGUCAGGUCUAGAUAAGCACUGAAAGCAUCUAAGUGCGAAGCUAACUUCAAGAUAAGAUUUCCCAUCCCGUGAGGGAGUAAGAUACCUUCUAGACCAGGAGGUUGAUAGGUGAAAAAUGUAAGUAUAGUAAUAUAUUGAGUUAAUUCAUACUAAUUUAUCGAGGACUUAUUUU
rnacentral:rRNA from 1 species